rnacentral:rRNA from 1 species
GAGUUUGAUCUUGGCUCAGGACGAACGCUGGCGGCGUGCUUAACACAUGCAAGUCGAACGGAAAGGCCCUGCUUUUGUGGGGUGCUCGAGUGGCGAACGGGUGAGUAACACGUGAGUAACCUGCCCUUGACUUUGGGAUAACUUCAGGAAACUGGGGCUAAUACCGGAUAGGAGCUCCUGCUGCAUGGUGGGGGUUGGAAAGUUUCGGCGGUUGGGGAUGGACUCGCGGCUUAUCAGCUUGUUGGUGGGGUAGUGGCUUACCAAGGCUUUGACGGGUAGCCGGCCUGAGAGGGUGACCGGCCACAUUGGGACUGAGAUACGGCCCAGACUCCUACGGGAGGCAGCAGUGGGGAAUAUUGCACAAUGGGCGGAAGCCUGAUGCAGCAACGCCGCGUGCGGGAUGACGGCCUCGGUUGUAACCGACGUUUCGCUUGUGUACGAAGCGUGAGUGACGGUAAGUA